rnacentral:snoRNA from 1 species
ACCGUCAAUGAUGAUGAGGUUGUUGCUCAUAUACUUAAUGGUUUAGACUUUGAUUAUCACCCUUUUGUCUCUUCCAUGAUGGGCUGGACAGGAGAACUCUCGCUGUCCAAGUUAUAUUCACUUCUCAUGGAGUAUGAUC